AAUAAUAGUUAUGAUCUUUAAACUUAAAAAAAUUGGCGGUAUUUAAAUCUAAUUAGGGGAAUUUGUUUAUAUUGAAUGAUAAUCCUCAAGAAACCUUACUUUAAAUUAUUUAACUUAUUUAUUGCCGUUAUCAGAUUAUUUUUUUAGAAUUAAAAUUUUCUAGAAUUUUUAUUAAAAAAAUUAUUUCAGGUCAUUAUGUAGUUUAUAUUAAAGUUUAAAUGAAUUACAAUAAAUUUUAUUUAUUAUAUGAAUAUUAAAUUGAAAUAUUUAAUUGAAGGUGGACUUAAUAGUAAAAUUAAAUAUUAAAUUAAUUUGAAUUAAGAGUUAAAU
rnacentral:rRNA from 1 species